CAUACCUAUUCGAAGGGAUAGGGUCGGUUUGGCCGGAUUUCACACAGGUGUUGCAUGGCUGUCGUCAGCUCGUGUCGUGAGAUGUUGGGUUAAGUCCCGCAACGAGCGCAACCCUCAUCCUUAGUUACCAUCAGGUUAUGCUGGGGACUUUAAGGAAACUGCCAGUGAUAAACUGGAGGAAGGUGGGGAUGAUGUCAAGUCAUCAUGGCCCUUAUGGAGUGGGCUACACACGUGCUACAAUGGUGAUUACAAUGGGCUGCAAGGUCGCAAGGCUGAGCUAAUCCUAAAAAAUCAUCUCAGUUCGGAUUGUUCUCUGCAACUCGAGAGCAUGAAGUUGGAAUCGCUAGUAAUCGUGGAUCAGCAUGCCACGGUGAAUACGUUCUCGGGUCUUGUACACACUGCCCGUCACGCCAUGGGAAUUGGUUUCACUCGAAGCU
rnacentral:rRNA from 23 species